GAUGAACGCUGGCGGCGUGCCUAACACAUGCAAGUCGAACGGAGAUUACGGACGGAAGUUUUCGGAUGGAAGACUGUAAUUCUUAGUGGCGGACGGGUGAGUAACGCGUGGGCAACCUGCCCUAUACAGGGGGAUAGCAGCUGGAAACGGCUGGUAAGACCGCAUAAGUCGGUUAAAUCGCAUGAUUUGAUCGGGAAAUGAGCAAUCAGGUAUAGGAUGGGCCCGCGUCCGAUUAGCCAGUUGGCAGGGUAAAAGCCUACCAAAGCGACGAUCGGUAGCCGGACUGAGAGGUCGGACGGCCACAUUGGGACUGAGACACGGCCCAAACUCCUACGGGAGGCGGCAGUGGGGGAUAUUGCACAAUGGAGGAAACUCUGAUGCAGCGACGCCGCGUGAGUGAAGAAGUAUUUCGGUAUGUAAAGCUCUAUCAGCAGGGAAGAUGAUGACGGUACCUGACUAAGAAGCCCCGGCUAACUACGUG
rnacentral:rRNA from 1 species